CCUACGGGUGGCAGCAGUGAGGAAUAUUGGUCAAUGGACGAGAGUCUGAACCAGCCAAGUAGCGUGAAGGAUGACUGCCCUAUGGGUUGUAAACUUCUUUUAUAUGGGAAUAAAACGUUCCACGUGUGUGAUUUUGUAUGUACCAUAUGAAUAAGGAUCGGCUAACUCCGUGCCAGCAGCCGCGGUAAUACGGAGGAUCCGAGCGUUAUCCAGAUUUAUUGGGUUUAAAGGGAGCGUAGGUGGAUUGUUAAGUCAGUUGUGAAAGUUUGCGGCUCAACCGUAGAAUUGCAGUUGAAACUGGCAGUCUUGAGUACAGUAGAGGUGGGCGGAAUUCGUGGUGUAGCGGUGAAAUGCUUAGAUAUCACGAAGAACUCCGAUUGCGAAGGCAGUUCACUGGACUGCAACUGACACUGAGGCUCGAAAGUGUGGGUAUCAAACAGGAUUAGAUACCCCUGUAGUC
rnacentral:rRNA from 1 species